GUAGGUGUAGCUCAGUGGCAGAGCACAUGCUAAGCAUGCAUGAGGCCCUAGGUUCAAUCUCCAGAACCUAAA
rfam:Ictidomys tridecemlineatus contig112927, whole genome shotgun sequence.